CAACCCUCGAACCCCUCCGGGGGGUCGGCGUUGGGGAUCGGCCCGCCUGUAGCGCGGCGCCGUCCCCUAAAUACAGUGGCGGUCUCGCCGCAGCCUCUCCUGCGCAGUAGUUUGCACACUCGCACCGGGAGCGCGGCGCGGCCACAGCCGUAAAACACCCCAAAUUCUGAAA
rnacentral:misc_RNA from 1 species